rnacentral:sRNA from 1 species
UAUUUUGCCAAAACUACAAUACACUAUUUUAAAA